rnacentral:rRNA from 1 species
UUUCGCAAUGCCCGAAAGGGUGACGAAGCGACGCCGCGUGGGUGAGGAAGGCCUUCGGGUUGUAAAGCCCUGUCAGGAGUUAUGAAAUGUAAGUGCGCUAAUAUCGUGCUUAUUUGACAAAGGCUCCAAAGGAAGCCACGGCUAACUCUGUGCCAGCAGCCGCGGUAAUACAGAGGUGGCGAGCGUUGUUCGGAAUUAUUGGGCGUAAAGAGCACGUAGGUGGGCUUGCAAGUCAGAUGUGAAAGCCUUCUGUUCAACGGAAGAAUUGCAUCUGAAACUGCUAUCUUGAGUAUAGGAGGGGAGAAUGGAACUUCUGGUGGAGCGGUGAAAUGCGUAGAUAUCAGAAGGAACGCCGGCGGCGAAAGCGAUUCUCUGGCCUAUUACUGACACUCAGCGUGCGAAAGCUAGGGGAGCAAACGGGAUUAGAUACCCCGGUAGUCCUAGCCGUAAACGAUGGGCACUAAGUAGAGGGGUUUUA